CUUUAUCAUCCCGUCUGCGACGUCGUUCACGACCUUGAUCGCCUCUUUCAGUCUCUUCUCCGAACCGAUACCGAGAAGCCGCUUCGCUUGCCAAACACACGGCGACGAGGUCAUGGCGCGUUCCGCGGAGAGUUUGGAGGCCAGGUCAAACGCGUCGGCGAGGUCCGAAACGGGAAGACUCGGAAGAAGACAACCCGGGUCAAGACCGAACGAUAUUUUGCAUAUGUUGUCGAAGGAGAAUCUUCUCAGUAUGUCCUGCAAAUCCAAGACCUUUUCCUUAUUCAUUUCGCCACGCGCGGUUGAGACCGCAAUAGGGAGCAAGCGCGAGUGGAUCUCCUCGUUGACCAACUCCAUCGCGUAGGAGCGAAUCGCGACGCUUCCGAGUUCAAGACUGGCCAUUUUGCGUUGAAAGCGCCAGGAAUCGCCGUCGACGUUGAAAAUUCCCUUGCCGAGAAGGUCGCCGAGGAUGGCGGAGAAGGGUUUCCCUUUGGGGUAGUUGUGGAAAUUGGUCUUGAGAAUGUACUCGACGUUGUCAGGGUUGGAGGUAAUGGUGUUCCCCAAGACAUG
rnacentral:lncRNA from 1 species